rnacentral:rRNA from 1 species
UACGAAGGGGGCUAGCGUUGUUCGGAAUUACUGGGCGUAAAGCGCGCGCAGGCGGCUAUCCAAGUCAGUGGUGAAAGCCCGGAGCUCAACUCCGGAACUGCCAUUGAAACUGUUUAGCUUGAGGACGAGAGAGGUGAGUGAAAUUCCCAGUGUAGAGGUGAAAUUCGUAGAUAUUGGGAAGAACACCGGUGGCGAAGGCGGCUCACUGGCUCGUAUCUGACGCUCAGGCGCGACAGCGUGGGGAUCAAACAGG